rnacentral:ncRNA from 1 species
UUCCAAGUCGUAGUGUUCGGGCCGCCAAGGCCACCCCGGCACCGUGGGAAGCCGGUGCGAUCCCGGCACGGUCCCGCCGCGCCUCGGCGAGUACGGCACUGAGAAGAUCGUUCGAGACCUGCGGGUGCAC